rnacentral:miRNA from 1 species
UGGCCCAAAAGUUUGUUCGGAU